rnacentral:rRNA from 1 species
GCGGCCUAUCAGCUUGUUGGUGAGGUAAUGGCCUACCAAGGCAACGACGGGUAGCUGGUCUGAGAGGAUGAUCAGCCACACUGGGACUGAGACACGGCCCAGACUCCUACGGGAGGCAGCAGUGGGGAAUCUUGCGCAAUGGGCGAAAGCCUGACGCAGCAACGCCGCGUGCGGGAUGAAGGCCUUCGGGUUGUAAACCGCUUUCAGCAGGAACGAAAAUGACGGUACCUGCAGAAGAAGGAGCGGCCAACUACGUGCCAGCAGCCGCGGUGACACGUAGGCUCCAAGCGUUGUCCGGAUUUAUUGGGCGUAAAGAGCUCGUAGGCGGUUUAGUAAGUCGGGUGUUAAAACUCUGGGCUCAACCCGGAGACGCCAUCCGAUACUACUAUGACUUGAGUUCAGGAGGGGAGACUGGAAUUCCU